AGAGUUUGAUCAUGGCUCAGAAUCAACGCUGGCGGCGCGCUUAACACAUGCAAGUCGAACGGGAAAGUGGAGCAAUCCAUGAGUAGAGUGGCGUACGGGUGAGUAACACGUGGGUAUCUACCUCUUAGUGGGGAAUAACCCUGGGAAACCGGGGCUAAUACCGCAUAAGCCUGAGAAGGGAAAGCAGCAAUGCGCUGAGAGAGGAGCCCGCGGCCGAUUAGCUAGUUGGUAGGGUAACGGCCUACCAAGGCAAAGAUCGGUAGCCGGCCUGAGAGGGCACACGGCCACACUGGCACUGAAACACGGGCCAGACUCCUACGGGAGGCAGCAGUGGGGAAUCUUGCACAAUGGGGGCAACCCUGAUGCAGCGACGCCGCGUGAGCGAUGAAGCCCUUCGGGGUGUAAAGCUCUUUCGUCAGGGAAGAUCAUGACGGUACCUGGAGAAGCAGCUGCGGCUAACUACGUGCCAGCAGCCGCGGUAAUACGUAGGCAGCGAGCGUUGUUCGGAGUUACUGGGCGUAAAGGGUGUGUAGGCGGUUUCUUAAGUUUGGUGUGAAAUCUCCCGGCUCAACCGGGAGGGUGCGCCGAAUACUGAGGGACUAGAGUGCGGGAGAGGAAAGUGGAAUUCCUGGUGUAGCGGUGAAAUGCGUAGAUAUCAGGAGGAACACCGGUGGUGUAGACGGCUUUCUGGACCGUAACUGACGCUGAGACACGAAAGCGUGGGUAGCAAACAGGAUUAGAUACCCUGGUAGUCCACGCCCUAAACGAUGCAUAUUUGGUGUGGGUCAUUCAGUUGAUCCGUGCCGGAGCUAACGCGUUAAAUAUGCCGCCUGGGGAGUACAGUCGCAAGGCUGAAACUCAAAGGAAUUGACGGGGCCCGCACAAGCGGUGGAGCAUGUGGUUCAAUUCGACGCAACGCGAAGAACCUUACCUGGGCUCGAACGGCUUCUCAACGGCGGU
rnacentral:rRNA from 1 species